rnacentral:rRNA from 1 species
UACAGAGGGGGCAAGCGUUUAUUCGGAAUUAUUGGGCGUAAAGGGCGCGUAGGCGGCUUGGCAAGUGGAUGGUGAAAUCCCUCGGCUUAACCGAGGAACUGCCGUCCAAACUGCUUCGCUUGAGACCGGGAGAGGUGAGUGGAAUUCCCAGUGUAGCGGUGAAAUGCGUAGAUAUUGGGAGGAACACCAGUGGCGAAGGCGGCUCACUGGACCGGUACUGACGCUGAUGCGCGAAAGCGUGGGGAGCAAACGGGG